AUUGAACGCUGGCGGCAGGCCUAACACAUGCAAGUCGAACGAGUGGCGGACGGGUGAGUAAUGUAUGGGAAACUGCCUGAUGGAGGGGGAUAACUACUGGAAACGGUAGCUAAUACCGCAUACCAUCAGAUGUGCCCAGAUGGGCUUAGCUAGUAGGUGGGGUAACGGCUCACCUAGGCGACUAUCCCUAGCUGGUCUGAGAGGAUGACCAGCCAAGCUGGAACUUAGACAGGGACCAGACUCCUACGGGAGGCAGCAGUGGGGAAUAUUGCACAAUGGGCGCAAGCCUGAUGCAGCAAUGCCGCGUGUAUGAAGAAGGCCUUCGGGUUGUAAAGUACUUUCAGCGGGGAGGCGUUACCCGCAGAAGAAGCACCGGCUAACUCCGUGCCAGCAGCCGCGGUAAUUC
rnacentral:rRNA from 1 species